rnacentral:tRNA from 1 species
GCCUGGUUGGCUCAUUUGGUUGAGCAUCUGACUUCGGUUUCACGUCAUGAUCUCAUGAUCUCACAGGUCAUGAGUUCGAGCCCCACAUCAGGCC